rnacentral:rRNA from 1 species
GUGAGGAAUAUUGCGCAAUGGAGGCAACUCUGACGCAGCCAUGCCGCGUGCAGGAAGAAGGCGCUACGCGUUGUAAACUGCUUUUAACCGGGAAGAAACCCCAGGACGUGUCCUGGGUUGACGGUACCGGAGGAAUAAGCACCGGCUAACUUCGUGCCAGCAGCCGCGGUAAUACGAAGGGUGCAAGCGUUAUCCGGAUUCAUUGGGUUUAAAGGGUGCGUAGGCGGAGCGUUAAGUCAGUGGUGAAAUCCUGCAGCUUAACUGUAGACUUGCAAUUGAUACUGGCGCUCUUGAGUGCGCUUGAAGUGGGCGGAAUGUGCCGUGUAGCGGUGAAGUGCUUAGAUAUGGCACAGAACACCAAUUGCGAAGGCAGCUCACUAAGGCGAUACUGACGCUGAGGCACGAAAGCGUGGGGAUCGAACAGGAUUAGAAACCCUUGUAGUCC